UACGUAGGGAGCAAGCGUUGUCCGGAAUCAUUGGGCGUAAAGCGCGCGUAGGUGGCUUCGUAAGUCAGUUGUGAAAGUCAAAGGCUCAACCUUUGAAAGCCGAUGGAUACUGCGGAGCUAGAGUACGGAAGAGGCGAGUGGAAUUCCUGGUGUAGCGGUGGAAUGCGCAGAUAUCAGGAGGAACACCAAUAGCGAAGGCAGCUCGCUGGGACGUUACUGACACUGAGGCGCGAAAGCGUGGGGAGCGAACAGG
rnacentral:rRNA from 1 species